UCAGUCGACUCCUACGGGGAGGCAGCAGUGGGGAAUAUUGCACAAUGGGGGGAAACCCUGAUGCAGCCAUGCCGCGUGUGUGAAGAAGGCCUUCGGGUUGUAAAGCACUUUCAGUAGGGAGGAAGGUAGUGUAGUUAACACCUGCAUUAUUUGACGUUACCUAUAGAAGAAGCACCGGCUAACUCCGUGCCAGCAGCCGCGGUAAUACGGAGGGUGCGAGCGUUAAUCGGAAAUUACUGGGCGUAAAGCGCAUGCAGGCGGCCUGUUAAGUCAGAUGUGAAAGCCCGGGGCUUAACCUCGGAAUUGCAUUUGAAACUGGCAGGCUAGAGUCUUGUAGAGGGGGGUAGGAAUUUCAGGUGUAGCGGUGAAAUGCGUAGAGAUCUGAAGGAAUACCAGUGGCGAAGGCGGCCCCCUGGACAAAGACUGACGCUCAGACUGCGAAAGCGUGGGGAGCCAAACAGGAUUAGAUACCCCUGGUAG
rnacentral:rRNA from 1 species